rnacentral:rRNA from 1 species
AUUGAACGCUGGCGGCAGGCCUAACACAUGCAAGUCGAACGAGUGGCGGACGGGUGAGUAAUGUCUGGGAAACUGCCUGAUGGAGGGGGUUAACUACUGGAAACGGUAGCUAAUACCGCAUACCAUCGGAUGUGCCCAGAUGUGAUUAGCUAGUAGGUGGGGUAAAGGCUCACCUAGGCGACGAUCCCUAGCUGGUCUGAGCGGAUGACCAGGCACACUGUGACUGAGACACGGUCCAGAAUCCUACGGGAGGCAGCGGUGAGGAGUAUUGCACAAUGGGCGCAAGCCUGAUAGAGCCAUGCCGCGUGUAUGAAGAAGGCAUUCGGGUUGUAAAGUACUUUCAGCGGGGAGGCGUUACCCGCAGAAGAAGCACCGGCUAUCUCCAUGCCAGCAGCCGCGGUAAUGC